UGCAGAAUCCCGUGAACCAUCGAGUCUUUGAACGCAAGUUGCGCCCGAAGCCAUUAGGCUGAGGGCACGCCUGCCUGGGUGUUGCACAUCGUUGCCCCAAUGCCUUGGCCAUGUGCUAGGCACCGAGUGGGGCGAAUGUUGGCUUCCCGCGAGCAGUGUCUCACGGUUGGUUGAAAACUGAGUCCGUGGUGGAGGGCGCCGUGAUGGAUGGUGGCUGAGUUAAAGCUCGAGACCGAUCGUGCGUGUCACCCCCACCAGAUUUGCGACUCUGUGACCCAUGGGGGUCUGUUGGCCGCCUAAGACGGGAACCUCAGGUCAGGCGGGGCUACCCGCUGAGUUUAAGCAUAUCAAUAAGCGGAGGAAAAGAAACUAACAAGGAUUCCCCUAGUAACGGCGAGCGAACCGGGAAGAGCCCACCAUGAGAAUCGGUCACCCUCGGUGUCCGA
rnacentral:rRNA from 1 species